AUGUCCCGCGUUUUGGUGCCUUGCCAUGUGAAAGGCACCGUAGCCCUGCAGGUGGGGGACGUAUGGACCUCCCAAGGCCGGCCUAGUGUGCUGGUCAUUGAUGUCACCUUCCCCUGUGUCACUCCGUUCGAGGGGAUCACAUUUAAGAAUUAUUACACAGCUUUUUUGAGCAUCCUGUCUGUCAGCACACCUCAGCACACACACCGGCCAAGUGGGUGACCUGCCUGUGGGACUACUGUCUGAUGCCCAACCCACACAGUGAGGAGGGAGCCCAGGAGUAUGUGUCGCUGUUCAAGCAACAGAUACUGUGUGACAUGGCCAGAAUAUCGGAGCUACACCUGAUUCUGCAGCAGCCAUCACCACUGUGGCUGUCUUUCACAGUGGAGGAGCUGCAGAUCUAUCAGCAGGGACCAAAGAGCCCCUCCAUGAUCUUCCCCAAGUGGCUCUCCCACCCAGUGCCCUGUGAGCAACCUGCACUCCUCCAUGAGGGUCUCCCAGACCCCAGCAGGGUAUCCUCUGAGGUGCAGCAGAUGUGGGCACUGACAGAGAUGAUCCGGGCCAGUCACACCUCCGCGAGGAUAGGCCACUUUGAUGUAGAUGGCUGUUAUGACCUGAACUUACUCUCCUACACUUGA
rnacentral:lncRNA from 1 species